CCGAAACAUUCUUGAGAUCAACAAAGAAAGAAUGGUCGCGAUUGUGGAACCUCUUGUUAAUAUGGGGCAGAUUUCGAGAGCUACCGUUCCUAUGAAUCUCGCCCUUGCGGUUAUUGCAGAACUCGAUGAUCUCACUGUGGGCGGUCUCAUCAAUGGGUAUGGGAUUGAAGGAAGUUCGCAUAUCUAUGGCCUUUUCUCUGAUACAGUUGUAGCCCUGACAGUAGUACUUGCAGAUGGGCGUGUUGUUAGGGCAACAAAGGAUAACGAAUACUCCGACCUUUUCUAUGCUGUCCCUUGGUCUCAAGGAACGAUUGGGCUUUUAGUUUCUGCGGAGAUAAAGCUCAUACAUAUCAAGGAGUACAUGAGGCUAACCUACUUACCGGUGACAGGGAAUUUGAGUGAGAUCGCCCAGGCCUAUGCAGAUUGCUUUGCACCCAGAGAUGGGGACCCGGAAAAGAUUCCUGAUUUUGUCGAAGGGAUGAUCUACAAUCCGAAAGAGGCUGUUAUGAUGACUGGGAAGUAUGCUACCAAGGAAGAGGCGAAGAAGAAGGGGAACGUCAUCAACAGUGUCGGCUGGUGGCAUAAACCAUGGUUCUACCAGCAUGCCCAGAAGGCACUUAAGAAAGGUGAAUUUGUGGAAUACAUUCCGACCAGGGAGUACUAUCACAGGCACACCAGGUGCUUGUAUUGGGAGGGGAAGCUCAUCCUGCCAUUUGCCGACCAGUGGUGGUUCAGAUGGGCGUUUGGGUGGCUGAUGCCCCCGAAGGUCUCUUUGCUCAAGGCCACACAGGGCGAGGCCAUCAGGAACUAUUAUCAUGACAGGCAUGUGAUCCAGGAUCUGUUGGUCCCUCUGUACAAAGUUGGCGAGGCCCUCGAGUUCGUCCACAGAGAAAUGGAGGUAUAUCCAAUCUGGCUCUGCCCGCAUCGACUCUUCAAACUCCCGGUGAAAACCAUGAUCUAUCCGGAGCCGGGAUUUGAACUGCACCACAGGCAGGGUGAUACCAGCUAUGCUCAGAUGUUCACUGAUAUCGGUGUGUACUAUGCACCAGGGCCUGUUCUGCGAGGUGAGGAGUUUGAUGGUUCUGAGGCUGUUCGGAGGCUCGAGGACUGGUUGAUUCAGAAUCACGGGUUUCAGCCACAGUAUGCUGUGUCCGAGCUGAACGAGAAGAACUUCUGGAGGAUGUUUGAUGCGGGUCUUUAUGAGGAAUGCAGGAAGAAGUAUGGUGCUAUUGGGACCUUCAUGAGCGUCUACUACAAGUCGAAGAAAGGGAGGAAGACCGAGAAGGAGGUGCAGGAGGCCGAGGCUGCCAUUGCUGAGCCUGCCUAUGCUGAGGAGAAUUAAGGUGAGCUGCUAGAAGGGUUUUCGUUUCGGUAGGCCGUUUUCUGAUCCCAUCUAGGAAUGUGAACUCUCUGAUGUUAUUAGAUUUGGUUGGUUGAUUCUCGGGGUGUAUUAUGAGCUCCCCUCGUUUGUUGAUUCUAGUAUGUAAUCUGUUGUCCGUGACAUUUUCUUAGCUUGUGGAUUAUGAACUCACAUUGUUGUUGGAUCUGGCAUGUAAUUUGUUCUGUUGCAUUUU
rnacentral:misc_RNA from 1 species